rnacentral:rRNA from 1 species
CGAACGCUGGCGGCGUGCUUUACACAUGCAAGUCGAGCGAAUGAGAUCCCUUCGGGGAAGGAUUAGCGGCGAACGGGUGAGGAACACGUGAGGAAUCUGCCUUCAACACUGGGAUAACUCCGGGAAACCGGGGCUAAUACCGGAUACGAGACCUGCAGGCAUCUGCGGGUCUGGAAAGUUUUUCGGUUGAAGAUGACCUCGCGGCCUAUCAGCUUGUUGGUGAGGUAAUGGCUCACCAAGGCGACGACGGGUAGCCGGCCUGAGAGGGCGACCGGCCACACUGGGACUGAGACACGGCCCAGACUCCUACGGGAGGCAGCAGUGGGGAAUAUUGGGCAAUGGAGGGAACUCUGACCCAGCGACGCCGCGUGCGGGAUGAAGGCCUCGGU